GACGAACGCUGGCGGCGUGCUUAACACAUGCAAGUCGAACGGAAAGGCCCUGCUUUUGUGGGGUGCUCGAGUGGCGAACGGGUGAGUAACACGUGAGUAACCUGCCCUUGACUUUGGGAUAACUUCAGGAAACUGGGGCUAAUACCGGAUAGGAGCUCCUGCUGCACGGUGGGGGUUGGAAAGUUUCGGCGGUUGGGGAUGGACUCGCGGCUUAUCAGCUUGUUGGUGGGGUAGUGGCUUACCAAGGCUUUGACGGGUAGCCGGCCUGAGAGGGUGACCGGCCACAUUGGGACUGCGUUACGGCCCAGACUCCUACGUGAGGCAGCAGUGGGGAAUAUUGCACAAUGGGCGGAAGCCUGAUGCAGCAACGCCGCGUGCGGGAUGGCGGCCUUCGGGUUGUAAACCGCUUUCGCCUGUGACGAAGCGUGAUUGACGGUAAUGGGUAAAGAAGCACCGGCUAACUACGUG
rnacentral:rRNA from 1 species